UAGGGAAUAUUGGACAAUGGGCGGAAGCCUGAUCCAGCCAUGCCGCGUGCAGGAAGAAGGCCUUCUGGGUUGUAAACUGCUUUUGACAGAGAACAAAAAGUGCCUGCGGGCAAAAUUGAGUGUAUCUGUAGAAUAAGCCACGGCUAACUACGUGCCAGCAGCCGCGGUAAUACGUAGGUGGCGAGCGUUAUCCGGAUUUAUUGGGUUUAAAGGGUGCGUAGGCGGUUUUGUAAGUCAGUGGUGAAAGACUGCCGCUUAACGGUAGCAUUGCCAUUGAUACUGCAAGGCUAGAGUACAGUAGAGGUAGGCGGAAUUUAUGGUGUAGCGGUGAAAUGCAUAGAUACCAUAAAGAACACCGAUUGCGAAGGCAGCUUACUGGACUGUAACUGACGCUGAGGCA
rnacentral:rRNA from 1 species